UUUACUCAAAAAAAUUGACUUUGUUUCAGCUUCGUACAUUUAUAAUGAGUGUUAAGUUGGAUGUUCUGAUCACCCAGUUUGUCACCAGAAAGGGAGUCGUCCACUGCUUAACCUAACAUGACUCAAAAAUGAGUUGUGACGGUCGGUCGGCGUGGUGGUGGUGGCUGGAACUGGUCUGAGAGUUUGGAAGUGGUGCUGCGUCGGUCCAUGGAAGUGUCACUGAAGGCUAGGCUCUGCAUUGAUCCUCGGGGACCCUGCAAGAAUUACACCAACAUUAAUCUUGGUUUGCUUGUGCUUUGUGUUCAUUCACCAUUGUUGAAAACUGUGAUGUAUGGUGGUUAUUUGUGAUAUUUAUUUUAAUAAGGGUCAUAUAUUGCCUGGGAAUGGGAGAUGAUCAAGAAAGAGCAAUGCCAGGCAAUUUGUGACAGCAUGUUGUGGAGGGUCAUUACCCCAAGGGAGGGUUGUUGCCAGUAAGGGGCUCUUGAUCGAAGGAAAUUUACCAUAGCUCCUCUUCCUUGGAGCCUGAUUGCCUCCCCAUUUCCAGAUAUUGUAUGAAACCUAGGGGUAAGACAUCCUUACCCUAUGAAUGCAAUGGAAAACACAUUAAGGUAAAUGCAGGAAAAACCAGCAAAUCAUUUUGUUGGCCUUUCCUGCAUUUGUUUUAGUAUGUUUCCCCACCAUUGUGAAUUCAUAAAUACAAAAAAUAGAAGAUUUACUCUAUUUCCUAAAUACGUAUUCACUUAACACUUCCCCAAAUCUCUCUCUCUCUCUCAUCUCGAUUCAUAUCAACUGCUGGGUCUAACAUACAUUCAUGAAUGCACUGAUAUAUGUAUUAGUUAUAUAAUUAUUACAAUAUUGUGUAACAGUAAAUCUUCUAUUUUUAGGUGUGAAUGAAAAAUGAAAAUAGAAUUCACCUGUAAUGCCUGAAAAUGUAACUUAAUAAACAGAGGAAAUGCUA